CCUACGGGGGGCAGCAGUGGGGAAUAUUGCGCAAUGGGCGAAAGCCUGACGCAGCGACGCCGCGUGAGGGAUGAAGGUCUUCGGAUCGUAAACCUCUGUCAGCAGGGAAGAACGGUCACUGUGCUAAUCAGCAGUGAAUUGACGGUACCUGCAAAGGAAGCACCGGCUAACUCCGUGCCAGCAGCCGCGGUAAUACGGAGGGUGCGAGCGUUAAUCGGAAUUACUGGGCGUAAAGCGCUCGUAGGCGGUAUGUCAAGUCAAGGGUGAAAUCCCCGCGCUCAACGUGGGAACUGCCUUUGAAACUGGCAAACUGGAGUGUGUGAGAGGAUAGUGGAAUUCCAGGUGUAGGAGUGAAAUGCGUAGAUAUCUGGAGGAACAUCAGUGGCGAAGGCGACUAUCUGGCACAUAACUGACGCUGAGGAGCGAAAGCGUGGGUAGCAAACAGGAUUAGAGACCCGGGUAGUC
rnacentral:rRNA from 1 species